rnacentral:rRNA from 1 species
UACGUAGGGGGCUAGCGUUGUCCGGAUUUAUUGGGCGUAAAGAGCUCGUAGGCGGUCUGUCGCGUCUGGUGUGAAAACUCAGGGCUUAACCCUGAGCUUGCAUCGGGUACGGGCAGACUAGAGUGCGGUAGGGGAGACUGGAAUUCCUGGUGUAGCGGUGAAAUGCGCAGAUAUCAGGAAGAACACCAAUGGCGAAGGCAGCUCUCUGGGACGGUACUGACACUGAGACGCGAAAGCGUGGGGAGCGAACAGG